AAGGUUAGCACUCCACUUGACAAAGAUGAAAGAGGCUCUUGGACCUAACAACAGACGUGGUUAAGGCAUUGGCAUACACUUUAUAUAUAUAUAUAUAUAUUAAUUUUU
rnacentral:ncRNA from 1 species